UACAGAGGUCCCAAGCGUUGUUCGGAUUCACUGGGCGUAAAGGGCGCGUAGGUGGCCGGGAAAGUUCGAUGUGAAAGCUCUGAGCUCAACUCAGAAAUGGCAUUGGAUACUAUUUGGCUGGAGGGUUGGAGGGGGGACUGGAAUACUUGGUGUAGCAGUGAAAUGCGUAGAUAUCAAGUGGAACACCAGUGGCGAAGGCGAGUCCCUGGACAACUCCUGACACUGAGGCACGAAAGCUAGGGGAGCAAACAGG
rnacentral:rRNA from 1 species